rnacentral:lncRNA from 1 species
ACCCAACGGUCAAUCGACAUCGUUUCAAUAAUACAAAAAUUGAAAAAAUAAUACUAAUAAAAAACGAAAUAGAAGCAGAAUGGGAAAACCGAAAAUGAAGUUUCGCAAAACGCAGCCAAUAAUGCAAGUUCGCAACCCUAACGCGAAGCUCGUCGUCGCCGGUGCUCCCUAGGCCGUCCCCAUCUCCGUCACGCCAGAAUCCAGACACAACAUCGUGAACAGU